AUCCAGUUGACGAGUCCUAAAUAGGACGAAACGUGCCUCCUGAAU
rnacentral:hammerhead_ribozyme from 1 species